GACGAACGCUGGCGGCGUGCCUAAUACAUGCAAGUCGAGCGGACAGAAGGGAGCUUGCUCCCGGAAGUUAGCGGCGGACGGGUGAGUAACACGUGGGCAACCUACCCUGUAGAUCGGGAUAACAUCGAGAAAUCGGUGCUAAUACCGGAUAAUCAUUUGAAGUGCAUGCUUCGAAUGUAAAAGUUGGCUCCGGCUAUCACUACGGGAUGGGCCCGCGGCGCAUUAGCUAGUUGGUAAGGUAAUGGCUUACCAAGGCAACGACGCGUAGCCGACCUGAGAGGGUGAUCGGCCACACUGGGACUGAGACACGGCCCAGACUCCUACGGGAGGCAGCAGUAGGGAAUCUUCCGCAAUGGAAGAAAGUCUGACGGAGCAACGCCGCGUGAGUGAUGAAGGUUUUCGGAUCGUAAAGCUCUGUUGUUAGGGAAGAACAAGUGCCGUCUGAAUAAGGCGGCACCUUGACGGUACCUAACCAGAAAGCCACGGCUAACUACGUGCCAGCCGCCGCCGUAAAAC
rnacentral:rRNA from 1 species